AACAUUUCGAAUUUAUUUGCGCCAAUUUUGAUCACCACAUCAAGUGAACAGUUGCUAUAUGCAGUGCAAAGUAAGUAUAUUUUUCAUUUAUUGUUUGAUUUAAUAAUAGUUAUAUGAAAAUUUAAUGUUAACAAUACUGUAGCUGUAAUUUUAUGAGUAAAGUGAUUUAGGCAGCUCAGAUAUAAUGUAUAAUUAUACACGUAGUUGUUAUAUUCCAUUAGAUAAAAUACACACAAUGUUUUUAAAUCUCGGAGGAACAACAAAGUUGACCUUAAGAUAUAUUUGUACAUUUAUUGGUUGAGGCCAGCUAGUAUGUAAAGACUUGAAAACGGGGGAGUACAUGUGUUUUAAUUAACAAUGAUUUGGUAAUUUAAAGCGUUGAAAAGCGGUACCGUAAUACUUUGGCAAAGAAUUAUUGCAGAUAUUGGGAGGGUGGAGUCAUAAAAUAUCAUGGAACUUUGGAUAGAAUUAAAGAAUUUAUUCGUCUGGCAAAUAAAAGUAAUCAAUUGAAGUUCACAAAUGUGAUCGCAUACUAGUUCUUUUGCAUGCUUUAUGUGUUGAUAUAAUUAAAAGUCAAAGAUUUACAACACAUGGCAUUCUUGACCUUGCUACACAUUUAAAACAAACAAAUUCUUUUCUCUGGGUCAGAAUAGAUGUCACUCACAGCAUGUAUUCCUAGGAUUUAUUAAUGAAGAAAUACCGCAGAUAAGAAACAUGUGUGACCAUAACAAAUUAAUACACAAUGAUCUAUAACCAUUUUUAACGUCUAAAAAGAUGCUUUAUCAAUUAACCAUAGGAGAAUUAUUACAGCACAAAAAAUUCAAGGUAUAUAAAAAUAUUCCUAUAGUAAUUCACUUUUAAUAUCUAAGCUUAAUCCAUGAUGAUAUACAUGUAAAUGUAAGAUUAAAUAUGACGUAUCACGAUUCGAAAGAUCAGAAUUUAUUGCAAUUUGAAGAAAAAUGUAAACACAGGUUCAAAGUUAAACACUAGCUUCUUGCGUUUAUCAAUUCCAUGCCGAAAUAUCUUUUGAUAAAGAAUUUAGAUGUAACGUAUGACAUAUAUCAAUAUAAUUAAUUUUAUGUUAAUAAUAUUCAUUUGGAAUUUUACACAAAUUUUGUAAGCGUUUCGCACAUAUGAAACUUUUAUUUUCAAGUAAAAGAGGGAUUUGACAGUUUGGAAAUGCUGCAAUUAUAAUAUUUAUAAUAUUUCUUUUUUGUAGAUGUCUAACCAAUGAGAUGUCUAACCAAUAAACCUCUGUCGGAAAUUACAAAUACAAAACGGGUAUAAAGAAUAAACAUGCCUUUGGUGAUUCCAACUAGAUUGAAAUAAUAAGAGGUGAGUAUUAAAAUAUAUUUCAUUGUUUUUCCACAUUAAAAGUGUGCGACAUUUUGUCACAAUUCCUUUUAAAUGUGCUCUAGGAUCUUUGUCUACUAAAAUCUAUAGGGUUUUCUUUUAUAUUAAAAUUAUAAAUUAUUUUCUAUCUGAACUCAUGUUUAAAAGUACAUGGUACCUCUCAAUGGAUAUUAAAAGAAAAAAAUAAUAGCAUUGCAGUGAUUAUUUGUUCACAUAUGACACUAGUGUUCUUUACAAAAUUAGCCAAGUUAUGUUAAUACAAUAUGUUUUUUUUUUCUGUUGUAGAUGCUGUAAACGAAUGUUCAAUGAAGACUACAAUAUGGAACAACAGUGCAAGAUGCCUAGAAUAUGUCUCUGAAAUAUCUGGGAAUGUACCUAGCAGAAGGACUUAUUUUUCAAAAUAAAAUUAAGUAUUCAGAUUGUGUUUGUUUGAAAUUGUGUGAUGCAUAAGUGGGCAACUUGUUGUAUAAUUACUGUUUUAUGUAACAAAUAUUUUUUGAGUGUGAACAGAAUAGAUGAAGGUACAACAUGUACAAUUUCUAUCAAUAAAAAUGAAGGCACAAAAAUGUAUGCUAACUGAACAACAUACUACAUGUACACCAACCACCAACACAUGACUAUCCAACUUAAUAGAACAUAUACUUUUGCGAAACUUUUACUACACAUUAAAUGGCAUUUAUGGAUAUAAUAAAGGGUAACGAUUUCAGCUGUUAACAAACCUCAAUUCAACCAGUGUUCAACAUCAUAUUCUCAACAUUUACCGCAUUAACAGUCUACCUGGCCACAAUUCCCACCUAUUUUCAACAUACACUGACCACAGUU
rnacentral:lncRNA from 1 species